rnacentral:rRNA from 1 species
GAUGAACGCUGGCGGCGUGCCUAAUACAUGCAAGUCGAGCGAACGGACGGGGAUCGCGCUUCGCUGAUGUAGGGGGCGGACGGGUGAGUAGUAGGUGGAUAACCUAGCUAUAAGGCUGGGAUAGCGGCGGGAAACCGGAGCUAAGGCCGGGUAAAAUUUUCUACCGCAUGGUUCAAAAGUGAAAUACGGGCCUCCUUUCCCGGAUGGAUGGAUCCGCGCUUCAUUAGCUAGUUGGUAAGGUAACGGCUUACCAAGGCAACGAUGGAUAGCCGGCCUGAGAGGGCGAUCGGCCACACUGGGACUGAGACACGGCCCAGACUCCUACGGGAGGCAGCAGUAGGGAAUCUUGCGCAAUGCGCGAAAGCCUGACGGAGCAACGCCGCGUGAGGGAUGAAGGUCUUCGGGUCGUAAACCCCUGUUAUUAGGGACGAACAUAUGUCUAAGAAAAUGCGCACAGAUUGACGGUACCUACACAGAAAGCCACGGCUAACUACGUG